AUACGUAGGUGACAAGCGUUAUCCGGAUUUACUGGGCGUAAAGGGCGUGUAGGCGGUCUUGCAAGUCAGAAGUGAAAUUCCUGAGCUCAACUCGGGCGCUGCUUCUGAAACUGCAGGACUUGAGUGCUGGAGGGGAUAGCGGAAUUCCUAGUGGAGCGGUAAAAUGCGCAGAUAUUAGGAAGAACACCGGUGGCGAAGGCGGCUAUCUGGACAGUAACUGGCGCUGAGGCGCGAAAGCGUGGGGAGCAAACAGGAUUAGAUACCCGGGUAGUCCACGCCGUAAACGAUGAAUACUAGGUGUAGGGGGUAUCGACUCCCUCUGUGCCGCAGUUAACACGAUAAGUAUUCCGCCUGGGGAGUACGGCCGCAAGGUUGAAACUUAAAGGAAUUGACGGG
rnacentral:rRNA from 1 species